rnacentral:rRNA from 1 species
GAUGAACGCUAGCUACAGGCUUAACACAUGCAAGUCGAGGGGCAGCAGGGCGUAGCAAUACGCCGCUGGCGACCGGCGCACGGGUGAGUAACACGUAUCCAACCUGCCCUCAACUCAGGGAUAGCCUUUCGAAAGAAAGAUUAAUACCUGAUGGCAUGGCGGCCCCGCAUGAGCCCUCCAUUAAAGAAAUUAGGUUGAGGAUGGGGAUGCGCUCCAUUAGCUUGUUGGCGGGGUAACGGCUCACCAAGGGUUCGAUGGAUAGGGGUUCUGAGAGGAAAGUCCCCCACGUUGGGACUGGGACACGGGCCAAACUCCUACGGGAGGCGGCAGUGGGGAACAUUGGUCAAUGGACGUGGGUCUGAACCAGCCAAGUGGCGUGAAGGAUGAUGGCCCUACGGGUUGUAAACUUCUUUUAUAUGGAUAUAAAGUGGGCCUCGUGUGGCUUGUUGUAUGUGCCAUACGAAUAAGGAGCGGCUAAUUCCGUGCCAGCAGCAGCCGCCG